GGCACAGUGGCUUAGUUAGCACUGUUGCCUCGCACCUCCAGGGUUGGGGGUUCGAAUCCCGCCUCUGCCC